AUGGCAAUCCUACCCUCCAUCUCAUUGUCCUCUUCAUCGCUGGACCCGCCAGCCGCGUCCCUCCUGCUGCUGAGCACACCGCCACCAUCAAGGGAGAUGAAAUCAGGCGCCGCAUGCCUCGGCUGUUGCAGUUGCUGCCGCUUUGCCCGGAUGGCUUCGAUAGUCGCCUUAUCAGGUAUCAGUGGCCCUUUGUCCUCAUCUUCUCCAUCAUCCUCGGCCUCCUCUUCAGAAACAUUAUCUUCAACCUCGUUCGGCAAUGGUCUCCGUGGCCCAAUGCUGGCCUGUGCCAUAGGUUUCACCAGACCUUUGAGAACAACCACUGGCUCCGCCGGAGCUGCUUUACCGGCAGCGGUGGGACCAGACGAGGUGCUGGCCGCAGCUCCAGCCAGCCGCUGGUGCCGGGACUCAGCCGCCGCCGGAGGAGGGGGAGGAGGCGGCGCCGGAGCCCGCAUGAGGCUCCCAGGGAGCGGGCGCGCGUUCUUCUGGAGCUCCCGGAGGCGCUCGGGGGUGUACUCGCCAGCAUGGCUCUGGAAGUUGGACGGCUUGGGCGCGGGAGCCGCGGCGGCGACGGCCGGCGAGCUCCGGGCCCGGUCCCUGGCGGGCGUGACGCGGUGGAGGGCCGCCGCGGCCGGGGAGGCCGUGCGCGCCUGGCGCACCGAGGCGGACGGGCGGCGGCUCCGCUGCUGCGCGAAGGGCCCCUCCUCGGCGUCGUCCUCGUCCUCCUCGUCGUCGGCGAAGCUGAGGCGGCUGGCGCCCUGCGGCCUGGGCUUGGGCGGGGGCUGGGCCUUGGCGGCGGGCCUGCUCGCGGGGCCGGCCUCCUCGGCCUUGCCCCCGUCGUCGUCGUCGUCCGCGCGGCGGCGGAAGUUCUUGCGGUGGCUGCUCAUCCCGGCACCGCGAGGCGGAACCGGGUCAGGCGGGGGGAGGGGGGGUGGAUGGAGAAGGCUUGGAUUUGAAGUUGGUAGCUAG
rnacentral:rRNA from 1 species